rnacentral:rRNA from 1 species
ACUGACUUGCUUAUUGCACCACAUGUGUUUUUCUUUGAAACAAACUUGCUUUGGCGGUGGGCCCAGCCUGCCGCCAGAGGUCUAAACUUACAACCAAUUUUUUAUUAACUUGUCACACCAGAUUAUUACUAAAUAGUCAAAACUUUCAACAACGGAUCUCUUGGUUCUCGCAUCGAUGAAGAACGCAGCGAAAUGCGAUACGUAAUAUGAAUUGCAGAUAUUCGUGAAUCAUCGAAUCUUUGAACGCACAUUGCGCCCUCUGGUAUUCCGGAGGGCAUGCCUGUUUGAGCGUCGUUUCUCCCUCAAACCGCUGGGUUUGGUGUUGAGCAAUACGACUUGGGUUUGCUUGAAAGACGGUAGUGGUAAGGCGGGAUCGCUUUGACAAUGGCUUAGGUCUAACCAAAAACAUUGCUUGCGGCGGUAACGUCUACCACGUAUAUCUUCAAACUUUGACCUCAAAUCAGGUAGGACUACCCGCUGAACUUAAGCAUAUCAAAAGCGGGAGGAA